CUCAAACUCUGCCCUGGGAGAGCUGGACCUUAGUAACAAUGACCUCCAGGAUUCAGGAGUGAAGCGCUGCUUUCUGGUGGACUGAAGAGCUGUAAGCUGGAAAUACUGAGAUUUUCCAUAUGUAAUCUCACUGCUCAUUCUUGUGGGAGUUUGUCAUCAGUUUUACAAUCCUCAAACUCUGUCCUGAGAGAGCUGGAUCUGAGUAACAAUGACCUGGAGGAUACAGGAGUGAAGCUUCUUUUCUGAUGGACUGAAGAGUCCAAACUGUCAGCUGGAGAUACUGAGGCUGUCUGGCUGUAUGGUGACAGAGGAAGGCUGUGGUUGUUUGUCUUCAGCUCUGAGUUCAAACCCCUCACACCUGAGAGAGCUGGAUCUGAGCUACAAUCACCCAGGAGAUUCAGGAGUCCAGCUGCUCUCUGAAAAACUGGAGGAUCCAAACUGCUCACUGGACAAACUCAAUGUGGCUCAUGGAGGACAGUUCAGGAUUACAGCAGGACCACGAAAA